rnacentral:lncRNA from 1 species
CGGGGCGAUGUGGGCUGGGCUCCUCCGAAAGGGGCGUGUCCCGCGGCGCCGGCCGCGAAUGGAGGAGCGACCGCUGUGGGUCGGGUUCGUGGGCGCCGGGGAGGAUGGGCGGGGCUCGCCCGGGGGCUCCUGCAGGCGGGGAAGGUCCCGGCCGGCAACAUCCUGGCCAGCGCUCCCUCCGAUAAAAACCUGGAAGCUUGGAGGGAAUUGGGGUGCAGGACCACGCACUGCAACCUGGAGGUGGUGCAGAGGAGCACCCUGGUCUUCCUGGCCACCAAACCCCACGUGCUCCCGGGGGUCCUGGAGGAGAUCCGGCCUGCCGUGGGCACCCACCACAUCGUGGUCUCCCUGGUGGCCGGAGUCACCAUCCAGACACUGCAGAGGGUGAGCCUCCUUCUCCUUCUCCUUCUCCUUCUCCUUCUCCUUCUCCUUCUCCUUCUCCUUCUCCUUCUCCUUCUCCUUCUCCUUCUCCUUCUCCUUCUCCUUCUCCUUCUCCUUCUCCUUCUCCUUCUCCUUCUCCUUCUCCUUCUCCUUCUCCUUCUUCUUCUCCUUCUCCUUCUCCUUCUCCUUUCUCCUUCUCCUUCUCCUCCUCCUCCUCCUUCUCCUUCUCCUCUCCCUCUCCCUCUUCUCCUUCUCCCCCUCCCUUUCCCCCCCAGCCCCACAGAGGACACAC